CGGAGGACAUUGUCAGGUGGG
rnacentral:siRNA from 1 species